rnacentral:rRNA from 1 species
GACGAACGCUGGCGGCGUGCUUAACACAUGCAAGUCGAACGGAAAGGCCCUGCUUGCAGGGUACUCGAGUGGCGAACGGGUGAGUAACACGUGGGUGAUCUGCCCUGCACUUCGGGAUAAGCCUGGGAAACUGGGUCUAAUACCGGAUAGGAGCCAUUUUUAGUGUGAUGGUUGGAAAGUUUUUUCGGUGUAGGAUGAGCUCGCGGCCUAUCAGCUUGUUGGUGGGGUAAUGGCCUACCAAGGCGGCGACGGGUAGCCGGCCUGAGAGGGUGGACGACCACAUUGGGACUGAGAUACGGCCCAGACUCCUACGGGAGGCAGCAGUGGGGAAUAUUGCACAAUGGGCGCAAGCCUGAUGCAGCGACGCCGCGUGGGGGAUGACGGCCUUCGGGUUGUAAACUCCUUUCGCUAGGGACGAAGCUUUUUGUGACGGUACCUAGAUAAGAAGCACCGGCUAACUACGUG